UACGUAGGGUGCAAGCGUUAAUCGGAAUUACUGGGCGUAAAGCGUGCGCAGGCGGUUUUGUAAGUCAGAUGUGAAAUCCCCGGGCUUAACCUGGGAACUGCGUUUGAAACUACAAGGCUAGAGUGUGGCAGAGGGGGGUGGAAUUCCACGUGUAGCAGUGAAAUGCGUAGAGAUGUGGAGGAACACCGAUGGCGAAGGCAGCCCCCUGGGUUAACACUGACGCUCAGGCACGAAAGCGUGGGGAGCAAACAGGG
rnacentral:rRNA from 1 species